rnacentral:lncRNA from 1 species
ACGGCCUUGCACGGCCCGUGCCUUUCGGGCCCAAAGGUCAUGCUGGGCUAGAGACUUAGUAGCUUCGGCCCGGCACGGUACGGCAUGGUACGGCCCGGAUUUGGAACCAGGCCGGGCCAGGCCCCUAGCCCGAAUUGGCCCGACUAACGUGAGUCAUGCCGGGCCAGGCCGGCCCCUAGCCCGAAAUGGCACGGCUAAUGUGAGUCAUGCCGGGCCAGGCCGGCCCCUAGCCCGAAUUGGCCCGGCUAAUGUGAGUCAUGCCGGCCCGGCACGGCCCACAUUACAGCCCUACACUGUCGGAUCGUUGGCGCUAACCAUUAAUCCCAAAAGCUCGAGCUGUUAGAAAUACGCAACCAAUUCACUUAAAGCGUACAGAAACAGCGCCCAUGGGUCUCGAUUGUGACUUGGCCCACCUGGCCUCACGCCACUUCGAACAUGACUCGGUCCAACCCAGCCUCACGCCAUUUCGAACAUGACUCGGCCCACAUGGCCUCCCGCCACAGGGCAGGAUGCUGGCCCAUUUAAGCCAACAAUCCCCCCUCCAGCACCUGCACACAUUUGCAGCAUGCAGGAAUCGAACCCGUGACCUCUGGCUCUGAUACCACUUGUCGGAUCGUUGCCGCUAACCAUUAAUCCCAAAAGCUCGAGCUGUUAGAAAUACGCAACCAAUUCACUUAAAGUGUACAGAAACAGCGCCCACGGGUCUCGAUUGUGACUCGGCCCACCUGGCCUCAUGCCACUUCGAACAUGACUCGGCCCAACCCAGCCUCACGCCAUUUCGAACAUGACUCGACCCACAUGGCCUCCCGCCACAGGGCAGGAUGCUGGCCCAUUUAAGCCAACAUACACUUGCACUAGUCAGUCACUAAAUAGUAUUUCCAAUGUUGAUUCACAAGGUUCAACAAGCAAUCAUGCCCAUUGGUGUUCCGAAAGUACAUUUUCGGAGUCUUGAAGAGAAAGAUGUGAUUUGGGUUGAAGUAUAGUGCGACUUGUUAGACAUAUUGGGCCAUAUGGGAUUUGCAAUUUCUCUCUCCUGAUCGAGAUAUCUUCUGUUGCAGUUAAGCUCCAUUCUGCCUUUGCACUCAAGGAACAACCACUAGUCACUUCUAGUAGAAAGAAAGUAUCGUCGUAAUCUAAUAAUAGAACGAUUUGUUCUUCGAACAGUGAAAGUAAAGAAAGAGAGAAACAAAUAAAGAAAAAAACUAGGCGGUAGAUUGAUAGAAACUUCUGGUAAAAUACCCACCAGUACCCUAACAGAUAAAGUACAUUAUAUAGUCCGUUUUAAGGAUUGUCGACUUACUCAUUCAAUGACUUCAGUACUGGACAUUACUAAACUAAUUCUCUUAAUUGGUUUUUAUUACCCAGUAUCCAUCAAAAGAAUCAAUAGAGGAAGAAUAGUAUGGGAAUAUACUAUAGCAAAAGAAAACAAAACCAAGGAAUUUUUCCUGAUUUUCCAUCCCAAAAAGUCAUUGAUUGAGUCAUUAAUAGAUUAUUUACGAAGUUCUAUGGUAAUUUUUUAGAAAAUCUGUUUCAAUUGUCCUGCAGAUUGACUCCCUAGCCUCUGAGUCAGCAUCAAAGUACC